rnacentral:rRNA from 1 species
UACGGAGGGUGCGAGCGUUGUCCGGAAUCACUGGGCGUAAAGGGCGCGUAGGUGGCGCGAGUAGUCAACGGUGAAAGCCCGGGGCUCAACCCCGGGUCGGCCGUCGAUACUCUCGUGCUUGAGCACUGUAGAGGCAGGUGGAAUUCCGGGUGUAGCGGUGGAAUGCGUAGAGAUCCGGAAGAACACCAGUGGCGAAGGCGGCCGCCUGGACCUGACCUGACGCUGAGGCGCGAAGGCGGUGGGGAGCGAACGGGG